GGAGAGGUGGCUGAGUGGCUGAAGGCGCACGACUGGAACUCGUGUAUAGGUUAACCCCUAUCGAGGGUUCGAAUCCCUCCCUCUCCGCCA
rnacentral:tRNA from 9 species